UCUGAGGAGACACAGCAGGAGCCCUCAGGGCACCACUAACAAGAAAUGUAUAGAAUGGAAACAGCUGAAGAUGGGCCUUGCUGCUACAGGGUUAAGUUCUUACCUGUACAGAAAGCCCCCCCGAAGUAACCUCAGAGUGUGAUCCAACUACCUACCUGCCCACUGAAGUAUCAUCAUGUCAGCAGUGCCCAUGGAACAAUGUGUCCACUAUUCAAGAAUAGAACAAGAGGGACAGCACUUAACGUUUGCUCUCCAAGGAGACCAGAGUCUAGACAGAGAGAGACAAUAUGUCCUCUAUGAGCUAUGAAGUCUCCAUGAAAUAUGCAGACAUAUACUAAGGGAUGGUGAUGCUCCGAGGAGCCAUAUAUAAUCAAUCUGCUAUAAUCAGGGAGUUUCCUGGAAGAGGCAUACGUGAGCUGAAGCUCAAAGAAUAACAGGAAAACAACAGGGAAGCCAGCCAGGGUUGAUAACAUGAAGGGGACAACAUAAGGGUAGGUAAUUAACAAUGGCAAAACUAACUCAAAGACAAUGACUCUGCUCCUCCUGCUUAAUGCCUUCACAUGUGUGACCUGCAAAACAUCUACAGAGAAGUUUUAAAGUCAUGACUCACUGCCCUUCUUCCGAGCACAUCUCCUCCAGAGCAGACACCCACCCUUCUGGAGGACCCUGUGAGGCAAACCUUGUGCCUGACUCUUGAAAAGCAUCCAGCUUAGGUGUCUCCUAAGCAGCCAUGAAUCAUCCCAGCUCCAUACCAGAGAUCUUGGGCAAAGAAUUUUAGUUCUUCUAAAGAGCUGUAUAUGACAAUGCAAGCUCCAGAGGCCUCCCAAGAACACUGUGCCUUGGAGAACCAUGAUAUCAACACUGGGUAUGUGAGAACCUGGAGUACCACAAGUCAACUCUGUCUUCUGCAUCCUCCCCACCAGGCCCUGAACGGAAUGACCUGAGAAACAAUGGGGAAGGAACCUGCAUGUCCUUGCAGGAAUUAGUAGAUUCUCAAAGACUUUCCGGAAGCAACAAAGAACUUGAAGAAAGAUGCAUCUUCCUUCACUGGCACCACCCAAUCCCUUCAAUAAAACAAAAUCAAAAGAAAUCAAAAGGAGAGGAUAAAGACCUGCAUUAGAAUCACAUCUCCUCUACCUACCAGCCUUGUGAUUU